rnacentral:tRNA from 2 species
AGUUCAGCUGGUUAGAAUACCUGCCUGUCACGCAGGGGGUCGCGGGUUCGAGUCCCGUC